rnacentral:rRNA from 1 species
GGGUUGUGAGGUUAAGCGACUAAGCGUACACGGUGGAUGCCCUGGCAGUCAGAGGCGAUGAAGGACGUGCUAAUCUGCGAUAAGCGCCGGUAAGGUGAUAUGAACCGUUAUAACCGACGAUUUCCGAAUGGGGAAACCCAGUGUGACUCGUCACACUAUCAUUAACUGAAUCCAUAGGUUAAUGAGGCGAACCGGGGGAACUGAAACAUCUAAGUACCCCGAGGAAAAGAAAUCAACCGAGAUUCCCCCAGUAGCGGCGAGCGAACGGGGAGGAGCCCAGAGCCUGAAUCAGCAUGUGUGUUAGUGGAAGCGUCUGGAAAGGCGCGCGAUACAGGGUGACAGCCCCGUACACAAAAGCGCAUGUGCUGUGAGCUCGAUGAGUAGGGCGGGACACGUGGUAUCCUGUCUGAAUAUGGGGGGACCAUCCUCCAAGGCUAAAUACUCCUGACUGACCGAUAGUGAACCAGUACCGUGAGGGAAAGGCGAAAAGAACCCCGGCGAGGGGAGUGAAAAAGAACCUGAAACCGUGUACGUACAAGCAGUGGGAGCACCUUCGGGUGUGACUGCGUACCUUUUGUAUAAUGGGUCAGCGACUUAUAUUCUGUAGCAAGGUUAACCGAAUAGGGGAGCCGUAGGGAAACCGAGUCUUAACCGGGCGUUAAGUUGCAGGGUAUAGACCCGAAACCCGGUGAUCUAGCCAUGGGCAGGUUGAAGGUUGGGUAACACUAACUGGAGGACCGAACCGACUAAUGUUGAAAAAUUAGCGGAUGACCUGUGGCUGGGGGUGAAAGGCCAAUCAAACCGGGAGAUAGCUGGUUCUCCCCGAAAGCUAUUUAGGUAGCGCCUCGUGAAUUCAUCUCCGGGGGUAGAGCACUGUUUCGGCUAGGGGGCCAUCCCGGCUUACCAACCCGAUGCAAACUGCGAAUACCGGAGAAUGUUAUCACGGGAGACACACGGCGGGUGCUAACGUCCGUCGUGAAGAGGGAAACAACCCAGACCGCCAGCUAAGGUCCCAAAGUCAUGGUUAAGUGGGAAACGAU